UAGGGAAUCUUCCGCAAUGGACGCAAGUCUGACGGAGCAACGCCGCGUGAGUGAAGAAGGAUUUCGGUUCGUAAAACUCUGUUGUUAGAGAAGAACAGCGCAUAGAGUAACUGUUAUGCGUGUGACGGUAUCUAACCAGAAAGCCACGGCUAACUACGUGCCAGCAGCCGCGGUAAUACGUAGGUGGCAAGCGUUGUCCGGAUUUAUUGGGCGUAAAGCGAGCGCAGGCGGUCAAUUAAGUCUGAUGUGAAAGCCCCCGGCUCAACCGGGGAGGGUCAUUGGAAACUGGUUGACUUGAGUGCAGAAGAGGAGAGUGGAAUUCCAUGUGUAGCGGUGAAAUGCGUAGAUAUAUGGAGGAACACCAGUGGCGAAAGCGGCUCUCUGGUCUGUAACUGACGCGGAGGCUCGAAAGCGUGGGGAGCGAACAGG
rnacentral:rRNA from 1 species